rnacentral:sRNA from 1 species
GCAGAGCCAUUCUUGUUCCAUGCUGUUCCUGAGAGUCAACUAUGUGGGUGGGACAUUCCCAGAUUUCAAACUACCAACGUGAAGCCCCUGAUGAGGGAGUUGAAAGAACACAUGCAGAAGUCUGUCAUCCUACUUUCACCACACAGGUACAAGAGACAUAAAUAACCUCAAGGGCAUAGACUGCUGAAAAGUGUAGAAAAAUGACUGGAAAUUGGUAUGUUUUAAUAUGUAUUACUUUUGUUUUUAAUAUGAUUUAUUUAAAUGUUAGCUUGUAUCAUUUAGACUAAUGGUUGUGUUGAACAACUUGGUUGCAAAAGCCCUGAAACUGGAACCGUCGGCUCUCAUGAUCUGGGAUGCGCUGUCUGCAGUUCAGCGCUGGGUUCCUCCCACUUUCUAAACCCCUCCUCAGCAGGCAGACUCCAGCAUGCACAUGCUCCAGGAGACAGAAUAUAAAAUGGCAUGUUUACUGUUGCUGCUUUGCCUGUAGCUACCCGAAUCCAUAGCAAAAUGUGUAGCCGCAGACAGCAACCAGUCUUAGGAUGUCAGCCCAGGGGUCUCUCCAUGCUUGGCUUGCCCACAGAAUCCUUCUGAGAAAAGCGCUGUAAAGCCUUUCUCUUUAUCCCGCUUC